rnacentral:rRNA from 1 species
UUUAGAAGUUGUAAGGGUUGUUUGAGACUAAGACGUAGAUAGGCAGGGUGUGUAAGCGUUGUGAGACGUUGAGCUAACCUGUACUAAUUGCCCGAGAGGCUUAACCAU